rnacentral:rRNA from 1 species
AUUGAACGCUGGCGGCAUGCCUUACACAUGCAAGUCGAACGGUAACAGGUUAAGCUGACGAGUGGCGAACGGGUGAGUAAUGUAUCGGAACGUGCCCAGUCGUGGGGGAUAACUGCUCGAAAGAGCAGCUAAUACCGCAUACGACCUGAGGGUGAAAGCGGGGGAUCGCAAGACCUCGCGCAAUUGGAGCGGCCGAUAUCAGAUUAGGUAGUUGGUGGGGUAAAGGCCUACCAAGCCUACGAUCUGUAGCUGGUCUGAGAGGACGACCAGCCACACUGGGACUGAGACACGGCCCAGACUCCUACGGGAGGCACCAGUGGGGAAUUUUGGACAAUGGACGCAAGUCUGAUCCAGCCAUGCCGCGUGCGGGAAGAAGGCCUUCGGGUUGUAAACCGCUUUUGUCAGGGAAGAAAAGGUUCUGGCUAAUACCUGGGACUCAUGACGGUACCUGAAGAAUAAGCACCGGCUAACUACGUGCCAGCAGCCGCCGUAAGAC